rnacentral:lncRNA from 1 species
GCGGUGCGACCACCUUGUGUGUGAACAGUGAGGUCCCGAAUUCAAACCCCACUGCUCCCUCUCCCCAACUCCCCCAAGUCAAAAAAAAUAAAAUAAAAAAUCCUACUUGUAUUAAUCCAAGACAUGUUAUUUGUAUUACAUAUUAUAUGAGUUUAGAUUAGGAGUAAUUUAAUAGAAAAUGUGGACGAUGCUAUAUUAUAGCUAGGAAUAUAAAUACUCUUUGUAUUAAUAAAUUAUAUGCUAUUUGUAUUAAUGUAUAUUAGUUAUAUUGUCCUAAAUGGGACACCAAGCGGUGCGACCUCCUGUAAGUAAACAGUAAGGUCUCGGGUUCAAACUCUACUGGUCCCCCUCCUCCCUAGCUCCGCUAAGUAAAAAAAAAAUACUUUAAAAGAAAAAUGUACUCCCUCUGUCCCAAACGAAAUGUCCUGUUUUCCUUUUUGGGCUGUCCCAAACGAAAUGUCAUGUUUCCUUUUUUGGCAAUACACUCUCUCUAUACUUAAUAUUUAAAUAAUUUCAACCAACCCAC